UACAGAGGGUGCGAGCGUUAAUCGGAAUUACUGGGCGUAAAGCGUGCGUAGACGGUUAUUUAAGUCGGAUGUGAAAGCCCCGGGCUCAACCUGGGAAUGGCGAUGAAGACUGCAAGGCUAGAAUCUGGCAGAGGGGGGUAGAAUUCCACGUGUAGCAGUGAAAUGCGUAGAGAUGUGGAGGAACACCGAUGGCGAAGGCAGCCCCCUGGGUCAAGAUUGACGCUCAUGCACGAAAGCGUGGGGAGCAAACAGG
rnacentral:rRNA from 1 species